GCUGGCGUGGAAAAUAGAGUCUACGGCACCUCUCUCUCACUCUGUCUGUCUGUCUGUCUGUCUCUAACAGGAGUGAAAGUUUGAAAGCUCCCCAACGCCGGCUACGCCUGUUCGCAACGUUUCUGUACAUUUCUGUGGGGAAGGAAACGAAUGGUUUUAAGCUGAAGAAUCAAUGUUGUAUCAGCUAAGGUUUCCCCCCAACCUCCUUUGUCACUGAAGGACUGCUCCUAUUCCAGACGUGUGACUACAGGUAGAAAAACCCUACCAGCACAUUCUGGGGAAUGACUGAAGGACGUGACUUUUCACGUUAAAACGACUUUGAUCCCAUGGCAAACCUGUGCUGGAAAAGCCAGCCUUUCCCAGGCUCGUGCUCCGAGCUGGAAGACUGCCUCCCAGAAACGAAUCUGCCCACACUGACAGCUCGAUUGAGGGUGAUUGAUGACUAUCUGGAGACCACAGUACACAUAAUAUAAUAUCUGCUGCGUAAUUGCUUUAAUUUACAGAUGAAAAUACUAGUUCUCGGAUUGAGUUAGACUACAGCGAGCAGCGUUUUAUGGCGCUUGAGAGUGUUUGCAAAUAAAAGAUAUCAGUUACAGUACA
rnacentral:lncRNA from 1 species